CAGAUGUGAAAGACCCGGGGCGUCAACCUCCGGAAUAGCAUUUGAAACUAGGCAGACUAGAGUACUGUAGAGGGGGGUAGGAAUUUCAGGUGUAGCGGUGAAAUAGCGUAGAGAUCUGAAGGAAUACCGGUGGCGAAGGCGGCCCCCUCGGACAGAUACUGACACUCAGAUGCGAAAGCGUGGGGAGCAAACAGGAUUAGAUACCCUGGUAG
rnacentral:rRNA from 1 species